GAUGCCGCGACGAUUGCUAUUAGCUAGUUGGUAGUGUAAAGGACUACCAAGGCGAUGAUACAUAGCCGACCUGAGAGGGUGAUCGGCCACACUGGGACUGAGACACGGCCCAGACUCCUACGGGAGGCAGCAGUAGGGAAUCUUCGGCAAUGGGGGCAACCCUGACCGAGCAACGCCGCGUGAGUGAAGAAGGUUUUCGGAUCGUAAAACUCUGUUGUUAGAGAAGAACGUUAAGUAGAGUGGAAAAUUACUUAAGUGACGGUAUCUAACCAGAAAGGGACGGCUAACUACGUGCCAGCAGCCGCGGUAAUACGUAGGUCCCAAGCGUUGUCCGGAUUUAUUGGGCGUAAAGCGAGCGCAGGUGGUUUCUUAAGUCUGAUGUAAAAGGCAGUGGCUCAACCAUUGUGUGCAUUGGAAACUGGGAGACUUGAGUGCAGGAGAGGAGAGUGGAAUUCCAUGUGUAGCGGUGAAAUGCGUAGAUAUAUGGAGGAACACCGGAGGCGAAAGCGGCUCUCUGGCCUGUAACUGACACUGAGGC
rnacentral:rRNA from 1 species